rnacentral:tRNA from 1 species
GUAAAAUGGCUGAAGAAAUUAAGCUAUAAAUUGUAAAUUUAUUGAUGAAGAAAAUUCUUUUACUAAAA